rnacentral:tRNA from 1 species
GGGAUUGUAGCUCAGUUGGCUAGAGCGCAGCAUUCACAUUGCUGAAGUCGGGGGUUCGAGCCCCUCCAAUCCCACCA